rnacentral:rRNA from 1 species
UACGGGGGGAGCAAGCGUUGUUCGGAUUUACUGGGCGUAAAGGGCGCGUAGGCGGCCACCGCAAGUCGACUGUGAAAUCUCCGGGCUUAACCCGGAAAGGUCAGCCGAUACUGCGGGGCUAGAGUGCAGAAGGGGCAACUGGAAUUCUCGGUGUAGCGGUGAAAUGCGUAGAUAUCAGGAGGAACACCGGUGGCGAAGGCGGGUCUCUGGGCCGAUAUUGACGCUGAGGAGCGAAAGCGUGGGGAGCGAACAGG